rnacentral:rRNA from 1 species
GACGAACGCUGGCGGCGUGCCUAAUACAUGCAAGUCGAACGAACCGCGACUAGGUGCUUGCACUUGGUCAAGGUGAGUGGCGAACGGGUGAGUAACACGUGGGUAACCUACCUCAUAGUGGGGGAUAACAGUCGGAAACGACUGCUAAUACCGCAUAGGACAUAGGAUCACAUGAUCCAGUGAGGAAAGGUGGCGCAAGCUAUCGCUAAGAGAUGGACCCGCGGUGCAUUAGCUAGUUGGUAGGGUAAAGGCCUACAAGGCGAUGAUGCAUAGCCGACCUGAGAGGGUGAUCGGCCACAUUGGGACUGAGACACGGCCCAAACUCCUACGGGAGGCAGCAGUAGGGAAUCUUCCGCAAUGGACGCAAGUCUGACGGAGCAACGCCGCGUGAGUGAAGAAGGUCUUCGGAUCGUAAAGCUCUGUUGUUAGAGAAGAACAGCGCAUAGAGUAACUGUUAUGCGUGUGACGGUAUCUAACCAGAAAGCCACGGCUAACUACGUG